GACACACAGCAGGUGUUAAUGGGAAGAAGC
rnacentral:piRNA from 1 species